UCCCCGCUGGUGUAACGGCAGCACGCCGGGUUCUGGACCCGGUGAUCGUGGUUCGAAUCCACGGUGGGGAG
rnacentral:tRNA from 1 species